rnacentral:rRNA from 1 species
AUUGAACGCUGGCGGCAUGCCUUACACAUGCAAGUCGAGCGGUAGAGGGGAGCUUGCUUCCCUUGAGAGCGGCGGACGGGUGAGUAAUGCCUAGGAAUCUGCCUGGUAGUGGGGGAAACGUUCGGAAACGGACGCUAAUACCGCAUACGUCCUACGGGAGAAAGUGGGGGAUCUUCGGACCUCACGCUAUCAGAUGAGCCUAGGUCGGAUUAGCUAGUUGGUAGGGUAAAGGCCUACCAAGGCGACGAUCCGUAACUGGUCUGAGAGGAUGAUCAGUCACACUGGAACUGAGACACGGUCCAGACUCCUACGGGAGGCAGCAGUGGGGAAUAUUGGGCAAUGGGCGCAAGCCUGAUCCAGCCAUGCCGCGUGUGUGAAGAAGGUCUUCGGAUUGUAAAGCACUUUAAGUUGGGAGGAAGUUCAGUAAGUUAAUACCUUGUUGAAUUGACGUUACCGACAGAAUAAGCACCGGCUAACUCUGUGCCAGCCGCCGCGGUAACAC